UGCAUUUGAUGGUAUCAUUCAAAAAAAAUAGGGUUAAUUGAAUACAGGUCCCCGCAAAUAUAGUGAAUUAUAAAUAUAUUCCUGUAAAGUUCAACUUUUAUAAGUUAUUCUUGCAAAAGUCCUAACGUUUUCAGAUAGUCCCUCUGGUUUGUUACCGUUAGAGAACCGUUAGAAAACUGUUUAUAUUUUCAAUUUUGCCAUCACAAAUAUGUUCUUUCAAAAAUUAUAACAGUAUAAUAUAAGAUGGAUAAAAAUGUCAAAAAUUAAUCCGGGUAAAGUAUUUAACCUAUGGUUAACUAAAUUUUUCUAACGGAUUCUAACGGUAGAGAUAUAUCUGAAAACAUUAGAACUUUUAUAGUAAUAACUUAUGAAAGUUGAACUUUAUAGAAAUAUAUCUGCAAUUCACUAUAUUUGUAAGAACCUAUAUGUAAUUGACCCCAAAAAAAUAAGAUCUAACUAGGAGUGAGCAUAUGUGAAUGGUGUGUAAAUGGUGAGGAAUUUUUUGGGGGGAUUUCAUAUUUGUUUAGCUAUAAAAAGAUAUUGAGAUUUAAAAAGAAAAAUAAUAUUGAUAAAACAACUUUUGAUACAUGCAUAUCAGAUUGAUCGACUUUACUCAAAAUUAGAUUUGUAAAUCCAAUUUGACACAAUGGUAAGUCGAUGGAUAUUGACUCGAACUCGACCAAUUUAAUCGAUCGGCCACGUUAAACAGGUUGGGUCUAGGGCUAGGGCUUAGACCGAGUUAGACUCGGGUUGAGCCACCCCAAACUUGAACAUCACCUUGACCAGAUUGAUAUGUUUUACUCAACCCACAUCCAUUUGGACACUAAGGUAAGUCCAACGAUCUCGACUCGACUCGAACUCGACCGAUUUAAUCGAUGAGCCACAUUAAACAGAUUGGGUCUGCGGCUGCGAAUUUAAGUUCGUCGAAACAGGCUUUAGCCCAAAAUUAGUGAGUCAAACAUAAAACAGGCCCACCUCAAAUUUGGCCCGAAUCCUAAGGUGCUAAAUUAGCAUGAUCCAAAGAACUAAUCAAUUAAAAUGUAGAAAUUGAUAGAUAAAUGAUACAUACAUUCAAAAAAUGAUACCAAUUAAUAUAGCUUCAUAAAUUGAGAAAUGAAAUUGCACAUUAAAAAAAUUGCGAUUUUGUGAAUUUUUAUUACACAAGAAUAACAAAACCAAAUGCCUAAUUUUUUCAUCCGUGUCUAAGCCCAAAACUGUGUUUAUUUUAUUUAUUUUUUGUCAAUACGGUGAGUGUAGUAUCCUUAGCUUUUGAGUUGGUGAGGAAAAAAAAAAAAAAAAAAAAAUCUUUUGAGUUGGUGGAUAAGUACCUCACCAACUCCCUCCUGAUACUUAUCAACUCAACCCAUUGAAAACUAAUUAGCCUUCUCUCUCUAUCCCUCCUUAAUUUAGCUCGUGGGCAAGGUGGAGAGCUCGAGCUCGGGUGGAGUUGCCGUGGAGCUCGGAUCGACGUCGACGUCGCGCCACGGAGCCGUCCGAGCAUACGUGCGUCGCCGUAGUUUAGCGAGGAGGCCGGGCGAGGGAGUGUUUUCGUCGUUCUCGACGCCGUGUCGGAAUUGGAGUCGCUGGUUGAGGUGGGUAAUCUCUCAUUCCUCUAUGGAUUUCUUCUCUACUUCAAGACGAAGCUUCAGGACCCUUGUUUGCUGAAUUUGGAUAAGGUUAGCUUGGUCGGAUUUAACGCUUUCUUCGCUGCUGUUUUCUGGGCAGAUUUCGUGAUUUUGAGUGUAAUUGGGUUUACUUCUUCGCAGCAGGAGAACCGGGGACUUCGACGGACCAGCGAGGGAUCAUUUUGGAUCCGGGCCACUUUCUUCGCUGCCAGGAGUUGCUUGAGAGGUGGGUUCAUCGGUUUUUGCCUCUAAGUACAUAUUAGUCGACUUGUAUGCUUUGUCGUUGAACACUAAAUGAGGUAGCUCAAAUUCAUGGAUUAGUAUAUUAAAAACCUGAAUUGGGAGCAUGCUUAGUGAGUGAUGAUAAUUGAUACUUGUUAGACUUGGAUUUGACUUAGGAGAAAAUCUACGAUUUGGGCCUGUCACCAGUUAACUACCUGAUUUAGCUUUAGGAGCCGUUAGAAAAUUGUACUGUCGCAGUUUCUUCGAGACGAGUACUCCAGGUAGUUUAGAAUGUAUNNNNNNNNNNNNNNNNNNNNNUCGGGACAAGUCCGAGUCGCGUUGGCGUCAAAUAGACGUAAAACGGACUCCGUGCGACGCGAGAGCAGCCUUCAGCGAAGAAAUCUGCAAAAUAGCAGAUUUUCCUGCUCGCUGUACCGGCACAGCCAGCGAGGUGUACCGGUACGCUAUACUGGCUGAGCGCGUACUGCUCUCGGGUUAGCUUCCUGUACCGGUACGCGAUCCCGUGUACCGGUACACCAGGGUAGGUGAGGGGGCAUUUGAGUAAAUUUUCACCUCGUUUGUAUCACCAACCCACUCCCUCUCUAUUUAGCCUUGUGCUGAGAGAGAGAGUGAGUUCUUGUUGCUCUCUCUUCUCCUUCCUCUCUCUAGACUUGGUUGCCGUGGUGAGCUCGGUUGGAGAGUCCGUCACCGACAUCGCGCCGCGGAACCGUUUGAGCUCGCGUUUGAGGCCGGGGUAGCGCGAGGAGGCCGGGCGAGUGGAGGUUUUUCGCCGUUUUUACUGUCGCAGCGGUGCCGGUGUUGUCGAGGUGAGUAAUUCAGCAUUUCCCUGAAUUUUUGGGCAGGUGUUUGCUACUUCAACUCGGAAAAGUGUUGUUUGCUGAAAUCCACCGUCGACUGUUAGUAUUUCAGCUCGUACGCGACGUAGGAGCAUCGGAUUUCGACGAGACUUGGUUCGUUGGAUUCGGGACUUCGAGAGGAAUCCACGAAGCCUUUACUUGCGAAUUUUGGUGAAGGUUAGCUUGGUCGAAAUCCUUCUCUUCUCUGCUGCUGUGGAUUUUGGACUGAAUUGAGAAAUUUUGGUGUUUUAGUUUGGAGUUAGCUCGAUUUCGAGACUCGGGUGUUUUUGGUUGAUCCAGCAGAGGGUAUCCUGGUUCGAGGCUUCGUUCGCUGCCAGGGGAUAGCUUUCGAGGUGGGUUACAUCGGCUUUACUCCUAAGUUCUUAUUGGUCGACAUGUAUAGAUCUUGAUUUCGGAAUUAAUGUUAGCUCAAAUUCAUGGAUUAUUGUUAGAAAUGUAAUAUCUGAAUUUUCGAGCGUAUUUUAUCAAGUAAAUAAAUUAUACAUGUUGGACUUGGAAAUUGAAUUAGGAGAAAACCUGCGAUUUGGACCUGUCACCAGUUAACUACCUGAUUUAGCUCUAGGAGCCGUUAGAAAAUUAUACUGUCGCAGUUUCUUCGAGGCGAGUACUCCAGGUAGUUUAAAAUGUAUUUACACUCGUGCUGGUUCGCCGAGUGGAUUUUUACAGGGUCGUUCAGGUCAUUUCGGACUGUUGGGUGCCGUCAGAGUUGACGGUGGACCCGUAUCGCCUUUUUGGCGUCAGAUUGUGCCGAGGGCACUUACCUGUUGGUUGUUAGACCAGUUUGAGUCGAUUACUUGACUUUGGCUAGUUGGAGCCUAAUUGAGCUCGACAGAGAUACGCUGCAUACUCGGUUGGGUAGCGCCCACGAGUGCCACUCCGGAGUCAGGCUUGUGCUUUUGCGUUGGUGUCGCUCAUGCCAGUUGGACUUGCUCUCCACGGAUUAGUUAGAGUGGAUAGAGCCCGAUAGUCGCAACGGGGCAGGGACGGGUGUAUUCACAGUCCCGGGGACGGGUAUGCUUACAGUCCCGAUUUGGAUUGGGUCAGACUUGACUAUUCCUACAGUUGGUUAGUGUAGAGCAUGAUAGUGUAGUGAUUGAUAGCGGUAGAGUGUACUUCUUGCUUUUCCUACUAUCCUUGCUCCCUUCUGUAGCUUAGUGGGUGACCGAUGUUGUUUUUGGCGGUACCCACUGAGGACUACUUGUUUUUACAGUAGUUCUCACGCCCAGUUGUUACCUAUAUUUUUGCAGAGCCACAGGUUCCGGCUGCUGCACCGUCUGCGGAUCAGGAUCGAGGCAAGGGCGUCGCGAGAUAGAGCCCUACCCGACGUGCUGAGCUAGAGGUGCCCCUACUGCAGGUAGAUGUUUUGUUUCGAGUUUAUGUACAUAAUGGACCUAACUCGCCAGUGCGAGUAGCUUUGUAUUUUGGAUUUGGACUAUGUAUAUGAAACUCAGUUGGUUUAGCUUCUGUUUUCUCUAGCAGCUCCCUACUACUGUUCGUAGUAGUGUUUGAUUUACAGGUACAGCUAUCGCUUCGUAUACAGGGAAAAUUUCUUUGUAUACGGCGGAUUUGUCGGCGUGCCCGGGGAAAAUGUAAUCCGGGGCGUGACAGAGGUAAGUUGGCUAAUAAUCUCUCCACAAAACUUUCGCUAUAGGGUUCGGUUUAGGGCACCUAGCAGAAACCCUAAGUUGGCAAACCUUAGGAAAGUAAGACGCGAGAGACGUAAUGGUAGUCCGAAAGUCAAUGAGAAUCAGUAAUAACUCAUCCGAGACAGAGGCGUGAGUGAAUCGAAGGAGUUCCUAAAAUAACAUGAGAAAUCAUGAUGACUGCAGACGAUCGUAAUAUAUUCCGGAGCGAAAACAGAGACCACCUUCUAAAAAUUUAGGUGAUUGGGUCGAGAGUGUUCCGUUGUAUCUGACCCCGAUUAAUGUUCCUAACAGCCAUGAUAUAGCUCGCCGAGGUCGACCGAUAACACCGCUUAAAAUCCUCUUUUUAAAAAAUUGGUAAGUGAUUUUCUUAAUAAAGCUCAACAAAUUUGAUAAACAUAUAUAAUAAACAGUUAUAAUACUUUGUUGCUAGAGAAAAUAAAUAUUUAUAUCAUUAUGUGUGUCGACACAUAUAUAUUUUUUUUUUACCGGCACGGCUCGACAAACACUGUGUCGUACCGUACCUGCAAGUUUCGACACGACUCUAUACUAUGAUACUUAAAUCCUUGGUUCUGUAGUUUCGAUUGAUUUUUGGUGAAAUGGCAGAUCGAGCUGAGUUUUUUUAUUUACAACUCUCUGAGCUGAACCGAUCGAACUAUUACUCCAAAUCGAAAACUAAUCGAAUCUAAAUUUUUUGGUUCGAUUCGGUUGGUUUGGUUAGUUUUGGGCCCUACUAAGUUGGGUUUUCGAAAUUAUAAUAUAACGAAAAAUUUAUAGAUUUAUUGAUUUAGAAUAUUCAAACCACUUAUAUACCAAAUUUAAAUUUAUAUUACAAGAAUUGAGAAGGAAUAAUAGUAAACACUUUAUUAGACUAAAUUGUAAAUUUUUAUUUUACUUUUUCAAAAAAUUUUAAAAAAUAACAUAUAAUUUAAUUUUCAGCCUAAAAGAACACUUUGGCUCAUUUAAACAGUUAAUUCUGUCGAUUUGGAUUUUAAGUUAGAUGGUCAAAUCGAAAACUCAAAAUCAAAAUUUUAGGUCAAAUCGAACAAUUUAAAGUGAAAAACCGAAUUUUUCGAUCGACUUAGGUUAGUUUCGUUCAGUAAUUCAAUUUUAAUCGGAUAAAGCGCGCCGUAGUUGAAGAUUAGAGAAUAGAAAGAAAAGGUGUAAUAAUGUAAAUAAUAAAAUCUUGCUCAAUUUUAUUAACAAUGAAUUAAAACAUAUUUCAAGGCCCUCAAUUUCACUCAAACUAGGAAGUUUUAUCAGAAUCAGAAAUAAUAAUACUCUUUUUGAGAUUAUACUUUUCUUUUGUGAAAAAUCGAUCCAAUUACAUUAUAUGUGGAAAGAGCAUUUCGAAUACAUCAUAACCAAUUAAUAACAAUUUUUAAUUCCUUAAUGAUAAAAAGAUAUUUAGAUUAUGGUCAAAACUAGGAGUGUAAACGAGCCGAACAUGAGCUGGCUCGUUAAAGUAUCGAGCUGAAAAAUUCAGCUCGUGUUCGGCUCGUUUAUUAACGAGCCAAACACGAGCUGGCUCACGAGCUGGCCAACGAACAAUAAAUUAAAAAAAAUUAGAUUAAAUAUAUAUAAAAAAUAAAUUUAUAAAAUCUUAUCCAUUAGACUUUGAUCUAAUAGUUGAAACUUUACAUAUAAAUGAGUCUUUUUAUAAUUAAGCUCGCAUUUAUAUUUUUAUUUUGCUAAAAAUUAAAUAAUAAAAAUAUAUAUUAUAUAUAAUUAUUUAUUUAUAUAUAAAAAUAUAAAUUAAAUAAAUUAUAUAAAUAUAAAAUAUAUGUAUUCGAGCUGUUAUCGAGCCGAACAGGAGCGAGUUGACCCUAGCUCGUAUUCGGCUCGUUUAUUAAACGAGCUAAAAAAUCCAGCUCGUGUUCGGCUCGUUUACUAAACGAGCGAGUCGAUCUCGAGCUCAUUUCGAGCCGAACACGAGCUGGCUUGCGAACAGCGAGCUGGAUUGCCACCCCUAGUCAAAACUCUCUAUAAAUAUCCCUUUUUUUUUUUACUUUUUUCUUUCUGGGUUCCAAAAAUUUAUAUUUUGUCCUCUUCAAAUUUCAGAAAUAUUUUCAAGGAUCACGACACUAAUGAAAAGACGAAAUGACCGAAUUAAUAUACUUUUGUUAUUUUCAAGAAUAUUUUUGAUAUCAAUAAUAAAAAAUAGACGAAAUAAUGACGGAAGCAUAAUGGAGGUUUUUGAAAGUUAAAAAAAAAAUGAAAAGCGGGUAUUAUAAAAAAAAAAAAAUUCUGUAUUUUAGCCACGCAAAAUAUUUAAAGCUUCUGCUGUAAUGAAAAGCAGAUAUGCAAUUUUAGACCACAAAAGCACAAUUUUUAAUUGAAUCCUUCCAAUUUUAUUGCAAAAAGAAUCUAUUAGCAGCACAGCACCUUAAUUUAGUGUUUUUUUCAGAAUUAUUUUAUUAAAUAGCAUUACACUUAACUAUAAUUUGCCCCCUUGAAGUUCAUCUCAUUUGAUUUUGCCAUUUUAUUGUUUAAAAAAUUACAUUUCACUACCCUAUGGUUUAGAUCAUUUUUAUUCUGUUAUCCUAUAAUUUAAAAAAUUAUACAUAACUAUUGUGUGGUUAUAAAAAAUUAAAAAAAAAAAACUUUGUCACCCUAUUUGAUAGUAAAAUUUUUUAAGGUAAAAACAGAAAUAGAACAGAAUUGUUUAAGUAUAACUUUUUGAUCAGUUAGAAAAGUGAAAAUGAGCUAAACCUUAGGGAGGCAAAUUGAAGUUUACUUUUUUUAAAAGAAAUUGCUAAACAUUUUUUGCUAUUUCUAUUUAUUGUUAAAAGAAACUGUCACAUAUCUUAAUUAUCUUUCUUAAUAGCUUUCUAUUAAAUUUAUCUUUUUUACCUUCAAUAUUUAUUUAGUAAAUUAAUCUAAUGAUUAAAAUUGGAUUUUUUCAACUAAUUUGUCACUUUCAAAAACUAUUUUAUCUAUUAUGCACGUGAGCAAAAAAUGACGGAAUUUUUUGACGAGUAUAUCCUUGAUUGUAUUUCACAAGCGGACCCAAAUAUUAUUUCUUUAGAAUAACUUCAAAUAUCAUCCAUGUAGUUCAGCGCUUUCUCAUUUUAGUGCUUUAUAAUUUAAAGUGUAUUACUUUAGUACCAUGUGGAUUUGACUUUCUCUUUUAAUUUUUUUGUUAAAUCAAUGAAAAAGUUAAAAAAAAUUACAAAGCACUAAAGUAAAAAUUUCACAAACCAUAAAGUGAAUAUUCGAUAAAUUAAAAACAAAGGGUAUCUGAAGUUUUUUCUAUAUAUUUUAAUAAAGAAUCAACAGAGGGGAUAACAGAACGAGAAAAAACGGAACCACAGGGUACUAAAGUAAUACAUUUUAAACCACAGGUACUAAAGUAAGAAAGUUUUAAACCACGGGGGAUAUUUGAAGUUUUUUCCAUUUCUUUCUAAUCCCUCCAAUGUAUACCCUACAACCUGCAAUUUUUUUUAUAUAAACGAGAAAAAAAAAACAAUUAACAAGCUUUUGAAAACUUGAAAAUGAUUAGAUAUUUUAAAAUUAUUAAAAUUGGGAAAAGGAUAAUUCUUCAUCUUGGAGUGUAGCCACUACUAAUAAAUGGUGAACAAUGUGGGGAUCACCUUGCAAGCAAAAGAAAUCACAUGCUAAGGAUGUGUGACAUCCUUACAUUUAAUAUUCUCAUAAAAUAGAUCCAUAGGACUUAUUUAUAUUGUACUAUAAAUUGAGAGAGAGAGAGAGAAUGAGAGAAGAAAAAUAAAAAAAGAAAUAGGAGAAAAAAAAGAGAGAUUAGCAUCAAUUAUUCAUCAAAAUUGAUGGAUGAUUAGAAGUUUAGACGCACAAGAAUUACUGUGCUCCUAAUAGCACAAUUGAUAUUGAGCCCUUUCGAUUACUGGGCAAAUAAUAUCGAAAAAUCAUGACAUGUUAUUUUUAGAUUAGUUUUAAUUUACCUAAGCAAUCAACGUGUUAUACUCACGGGAUGUUCGCGCAGCGUUAGUGGCUCGUCAUCAAUUCGAAAUUAUCAAUUAGGUUCUUAUAUAACUAUUUGUUCAUAUAUUAUUUUUUAUAUAGUACAUUAUUAUUAUAUACUACUCCCUAUUCUGUAAUAUUAGUAACUACUACUAUAUAUAGAGUGAGUAGAUACUAUCUCGAUUAGUAAACGGGGCGUUUACUAUCGAGUUGUUUUCGAUGAUAGAGCUUCAAAUUGACGAUCGCGUCCGUUAAAUAAUGAUUAAACACAUUUAAACUAUCUAGAAUCAAAUUUCACGCACUUUCGAUAUUGUUCUUUUAUCCAUCUAGUGAACAAAAAAUGAACGGCUGAAAAUGAAUAUUCUUUAAAAAAUGAUGAUAGGAGUCUUGUAAUCAAGAUCAAUAGUAUAGAUCUUGUUUAAAUAGUUUAAAGAAUUUUCUAACAAAAAUUCAAUUGAUUUGGAUAUCUUUACACCGUUAAACGAGAAAACGUCUCUUAUCCACCAUUAAAAUUACAAUUUGAAACCCUUUGAUCAUUAGGCAAAUGAUGUCGAAAAGAUUUGAAAUUUGAUUUCUAAACACUUCAAGUGGCAUAGAUCAUGUUCAACGGAGCCGAUCGUCAAUUUGGAAGCUCUAUCAUCGAAAACAACUCGAUAGUAAAACGCCCCGUUUACUAUCGAGAGUAUUCUAGCUCAACUCUAUAUAUAUAUAUAUAUAUAUAUAUCUCUUUUGAGUUUUUAGCUAUUGGAUGGAGAGAUGUAGGGUUGAAAUAAUGGUGAUAGGUGGUGGUAGGUGGAAUAGUGUUUGAUCCGAAGAAUAUUAGUAAUCAAGGAGUAGAUCCAAGGGUUAAAAACUUAGAAGCACCAAGGGGUUGGUGCUUUUAAAAGUAUUCUAGCUCAAUUAUAUAUAUAUAUAUAUAGAGAGAGAGAGAGAGAGAGAACUAGGCAGCUAGAAUACUAUUAAUAGCACCAAGUUACUGGUGUUAUUAAGUUUUCGGCUCUUGGAUGAAGAGAUGUGCGGUUAGAAUAAUAGUGGUCCCCUAGGAGUGAAAGCUACCAAAUUUUCUACAGUUAGAUCUACCGUUUUGAUCAUUUUCACCCGUUAAAUCAUACUAUUCAACCAACCACCCACUCAAUCCUAAAGCUACUAUAUUUUCGGAAGUAUAAAGAAGUUGGUCCAUCUAACUUAUGUCAAAUAAUUAAUUAAUCAAUAUAAAUUGGUUAUGUCAAAUAAUUAAUUAAUCAAUAUAAAUUAGUACACUAAUAAAUAAUUAAUUAUUUAAUUAGCAAAUUAAUUAAAAUAAUAAAUUAAUUACUCAAAUAACUAAUUAAAUAUUUAUUAGAGUAAUAAAUUAAGUAGUGCAAUUAAUAAGUUUAUAAUAAAAAUAAUAUAUUAUAAUAUAUAACAUAUUAUGUGUAUGUAAUUUAGUUUUAAUUCAAUUUAUAAUCUUAAUAAAACUUGAAAUUAAAUUUUGGAAUAACACUAUUCCGCCAAAAUGGUAGAAUAGUAAAUCUCAAGCUAUUCUGGAAUAGCCGAAAAUAGUAAUGUUUGACCGGAAUAAGAAAUUCCAGUCCAAAAACAGAGAUAACGUUCGUUAUCCCUGCUUUAUCCUCGAAUCAUAUAGGGCCCUAGGGUUUAGUGGUUCUCGUAGGAGAAUAAUAUUAAUUUAAAGGUUAAAAAUGGUCAAAAAACUGAUCAAAGAGUUAAAAAAUUGAAAGUACCACAUGAGCUGUGCUUUCAAAAGCACCAUAGUUGGACUAUAUAUAUAUAUAUAUAGAAAGAGAGAGAGAGUCCGACUACUAUACUCUUAUGAGUAUAGAGCCUAUUGUACUCAUAAGUUUUUGGCCAUUUGAUCUACCUUUUAAUCAUUUUCAUCCGUUAGAUUAUACUAUUCAACCAACCACCCACUCAACCCUAGGGGGGCCACUAUCAACUUAACCGUAACGACUCUUAUCCUAACCGUAUAUUUUUUCAUCUGAACGGUUGAAAAGUUAUAAGUACAAAGGGCUCUAUACUCAUAUGAGUAUAGUAGCUCCAACUUUUAUAUAUAUAUAUAUAUAUNAAAUCCCUAAUCUCUCUCUCUCUCUCUCUCUCUCUCUCUCUCUCUCUCUCUCUCUCACAGGCUGACACCAUGAUAGCUAUCGUGGUUCAUAAACCACGAUAGUUCAAAAAGUGACAAUCUAAAUUGGAAAACUAAUAAAAAUAGGCAAUCUAAUAUGAUAAAUUGGUUUGUGAGUGAGUUGGGAUCCCCCGGGUGUAGUAGGAUUGGUAGGUAAAGAGUUAGAUUUCCGAUUUUUUAGUUAUCGUGGUUAUCGAACCACGAUAACUAACAUAAGGUCGGAUCAAUAUAUAUAUAUAUAUAUAUAUAUAUAUAUAUCUCUCUCUCUCUCUCUAUAUAUAUAUAUAUAUAUAUAUAUAUAUAAGCUCUUGUGCUUUCAAAAGUCGUUACUUGUGUAAAGGUUAAGUAAUCAGGUGUAGUACGAGGCUACUUAAGAGCUUAACCAUAAUGAAAGAAUAGCAGCCAAAUUUGAUUAGGGAGGAUGUUAAAUUUGGUUUAGAUUUGUAGUUAUUUAAAUUGAAGUUAAAUUCUAAUCUAAUUAGGAUUAGAUAUAAUUUAGAUUUUAUUUGGUAUAUAUGGAUUAUGAGUCGAAAUCUAAUUCUAAUUAAAUUAGAUUAGAUUUAUGUUUAGAAGUUCAAUUAGACUAGAGGUCUAAUUAGACUCUAAUUUAAAGCUAUACCUUAGGAACAACCCAAUUUUCAUCCAAACGCAAAAUUGGUCUAGUUCCUGCUAAUACCUGACUGGAACUAGCAGUUCUUACUUAUACCUGAACCAAACGCAGUCUACAUAUAUAAUGAAGCCUGUGCGACUAAAAUUGUACGCAGCCUACAUAUAUAAUGAAGCCUGUGCGACUAAAAUUGUGAAGCCAUGCUUUAAUUAAAUUAGCCUGCGAUUGUUGUGCGCUGUUGGUGGUCGGCUGAGAGGAUUCUUAGAUGCUCAAUUAAUUAAGUCAACCCAAGGUCCGUGGACGUAGGCCGUUGGCCGAACCACCUAAAUUUCGGUAUGCUAUUUUCUUAGCUUUUUUCUUCCUGCAUUAAGUUAUUUUUUGGAUAUAUUUUUCGUCGUUCCGGAUUUUAACAGAGGAUAUAUAAUCAAGUUUCAAAGACGAAACUUUUUGUAAGGUGGGAGUGAUGUAGAAUCCGAGAUUUUAUGUACGAGAUUUGUAAUUUUGGGUUCUUUUCUAUAAAACAUAACUCAUCAAAAGUUUAUUAUGAACCAAAGAUUUGAAGAUAAUUUAGAUCUCAAAGAAGUUUGAGGGAAUUUGGUGUGAUUAUAGUAUGAAAAUUGUAAAUUUAAAUAAUGGAUUAACCAAAAUUUUCUAUGUAAGUGGCGCUCGGGCGACAAACUUUUGGAGUCAAGUUCCGUGAAAAUCGAAAUUUUGAGUGCGAAAUAACAUAUUUUUAAAGUGAGCACUAUGCGGACUAUGCUACAGAUGAGAGAUGACUAACCCCUUCGCAAUCGAAAUGCAAUAUCUUAUAAACUACUUCACAAAAUUCAGAAGUUAAGAAUGUCACAGGAAAGGGCAUAUAAAGCGCAACUGUCGAAAGCUUCAGGAUGAUCUGAAGGAGUUAAAGCGACAGAAAGAGAAAACUGUCGUGAACCAGGACGAGACGGUAUCAGCGAUGGCACAGACGGCAGAGUCGGAGAUGUUCGAUUCUGAUGUGCUAUAUGCGGCGACCGAAGGUGCGAAAGAACUCUAUGCCCCCAUUUGGAUCGGGUAUAAAGAGGGGGGGGGAGAUAAGGGGGUUAUCCCCCCCUUUAUACCCAAACAUGUGUUUGGGGGGUGGGAACAAGUUGUUCCCACCCCCGAGUAGAGAGAGAGAGAGAGAGAGAGAGAUUUUUAUUUUAAAUUUAAAUUUAAAUUUAAAUUUUUAAAAUUUAUAAUUUUAAAAUUUAAAUUUAAAUUAAUAAUUUUAAAUUUUUAAAUUUGAUAUUUUUAAUUUUAAAUUUUAAAUUUGAUAUUUUUAGUUUUUAAAUUUUAAAUUUGUUAUUUUAUAUCUUUGAAAUUUAAAUUUAAAAUUUGAUAUUUAAAAUUAAAAUUUUAAAAAUUAAAAUUUUAAAUUUUAAAAUUUAAAAAUUAAAAUUUUCAUUUUUUAUUUUAAAAUCCAUACUUGUACCUAUCCCUGGUAUAACUAGUUAUUGCUUAUACUCGAACCAAACGAAACCUAGGAACUCUGUGGAUAUCUACAAUCUGAGACGAACAUUUUAACCUGAACUUCUCCAAAAUUGGGCUUUCUAUUGUGAAACAGCAAUACCUUGAAAUUGACACUUCAUGUGUAGUUUCGAAAACUGCAGCUGAAAAUUGAAAAUUUUCGAGAGCUUUUGCGCAACCUUUGUCAUGAUAUGAUGGGAUUGCUUGUGAAGCACUGUGAGAGGGGACACAUUUAAGGGCUAUCUUAUAAUUUUAGUGCGACCCAAAUCCCUAGAUUGAUCGGAUUAACCCUAGCCAUCAUUUUUACCACAAACGAGAUUUUCUAUCUCCCUUAUAUAUACAAUAUCUCUCUUUCUCCCUCUUUCUGUUUCUUUUUGGUCGAUCACCACACAGCAAUGAGAUCUUGUUGCUGGACAACUUCUCCGGUGACCUUCCCGCAUCUUCGGUGACUUGUUAAACCACAAAUGAAGCGUCCUUUUGCUUCUCUCUUUUCGAUGCGGUCAAAAUUGAGGAAAUAGGGCUGAUUUUCUUCGAACUUGUCGAAUCUCAAGUUCUGGCUGGUUGAGAAAGCGUUCAUGCUGUCUCGUAGUGUCCCACAAGUAUCUAUUGUGACAUCAAUAGGUACUUACGCUGCCCGAAAGGCCAAAAUAGGCCAAAUUCGGGGACUAUUUUGGGUGUGUCGCUGAUUGCAGUUGCACAAGAUGAUAUCUUGCUAUCCUAGCAUGGUUAGUGGGUGUGUUGGAAGUGGCAUGGUGCGAAACAUGAGUUUCGUACUCAUUCCGACAACAAAGUGUUGUCGAAAUACUAUUUUCAGGCCGUUAUUAUCAAAACAAUUAUCAAAAAACAAGUAGCGUAGGACCCUCGGCCGUGCUUAUUAGUGACCGAUUGAGACGGAUCUAGAACUCAAAAUCCUAUUCCGAAUUAUAUUGUAUUUCUCGAAAAGAUAAUACCGACUACAUCAAAAUUGAUCGGAUCGGGCUUUUAUCCAAUUUUUUUGAAAAAACUGAAGACCCGGACCAGGCCCUCGCCGAAAGCCCAAUACCCAUCGGGCUUUGUGGAGGCCCAUUUAUGUAUUUGUCACAUAGGACAAAAAUAUUUUUAUUAUAUAAAUUUAAAAUAAAGUAAAAUAUUUUCAUAGUAUAACAAUGCCCUAAAAGUUGCUGUAAAUUUAUUACACAGUAAUUAAGUACUGCAUAGUAAAUUCCUUUGCUAGGCCCAGACGAUUUUUUCUCGACCUGCAUGAAUAGAACAUCAAAUAUGCCCUUUAAGACGGUACUGAUAUCUCAAUCCAAAUCGAACUUAAUUAACCGCCUAAAUCCUUCUAGAUCAAGACAAUCAAAGUACGUGAGUGUUGUGUCUGUACACUAUACGUAAAUUACUUGCUCGAUUUUCUGUAAAUAAAGCUUCUACAAGAGUGAUUUAUUGCCAACAAUCCAAGAACCUAGCUUGUUAUUUUCUUGCAUGGCACUUCCAUAUUAGUCAAACUAUUCUUAAACAUAGGUUAAAGAAGUGUAUGAAACUUCAAAUAGAUUUUAUACAGAGUUGUACUUGUGACUUUCUAGUCGUCGGAUCGUCUCAAGAUCUGCCCUGCACUGUUAACAGUGUGUCCCAUUAACUCUUCUUUACUUGUGCUGCACGAAUCUUAAGGCGAUCUGUAUAUAUAUAUAUAUGUAUAUAUAUAUAUAUUUCAACUUAGUGUACUCUUUUUCGACAAGCAUUUCAAUUUUUCCCUCUGGAAAGGAUUCGUGCCCGGAGAGGAGUUUUCAUAACGACUGUGAAAUCCAACUUUUCCGACAUGUCAAUCUCCUCUCCCUCUAUGGCCUUCCACUCGAACUCCCAUACUAAAUUGCUUACAAAGUACUCAAGGUGUAGCAUUGCCAGCCCAUACCCCGGGCACAUCCUUCUCCCUGCCCCGAAAGGCAUCAUCUUGAUCUCUCUACUCCCCGUUAUGUCCACCGCCUCUCCCUCCCCGCCCUCCAGGAACCUCUCCGGUCGAAACUCCAUGGGGUCUUCCCAAACCUUUCCCUCCCACCCUAUCUCCGCCACCAUAAAGUUCACAUCAGCUCCCUUUGGAACGCAAUACUCACCGAGCAUCAUAUUAGCUGUGACGGUGUGUGGCAACACAAAGUGCGCUGGCGGGUGUCUUCGCAAUCCUUCCAGAAUUACUGCUUUUAGGUAUGGCAUAGAUGACAAGACCUUUUCAUCAAUUUCUUUCCUCUCGGUUGUCCCUACCAUUGUUUUGAUCUCUUCAUAUAGCUUCGUCUGUUACCGAUCACAGAAACAAGUUAAAAUCAUAGAGAAAAUUAGUUGGUUCACAUAUUGUCAAAGUUAUCAUCUACUAACAAGCAAGCAAAAUCAAAUCACUUGAUAACAAUGUGAUCUAUGACAUAUUAAUUAUCAUAAGUCGUACAAACCUUUUACCUAGACCUCUAAUAAUAUGAGAAACUAGGGCUAGGGCUACUAUCCUAUUAAUAGGAUAGUAGCACUUGUCCUAUCAAAUGGUUCUUGAUGAUAGAGAUUCCGAAUCGAUGGUCAGAGCUGUUGAAGUUGAUCUAGCGUAUUUGAUAUAUCUAGAAACUAAAUUUCAUAAAUUUUAAAAAUUAUUUACAUGGUGAUCAAAGUGUCGUAAAAUCAAUAAUUUUUGACGGCCCAUAUGAGCCGUUUGCUUGUUUAACGGUGUAGAGCAAUCCAAAUUGCUUAAAUUUUUUAUAGAUAAUUCUUUAUACUAUUUAGAUAAUGUUUGAUAACUCUGAUUAUGAAUUGAGAAAGUCUAACCUCUAUUUUAAAAAGAUUAUUUAUUUAUGACCGUUCAUUUUUUAACUCUUAAAAUGAACUUGAUAAUAAUUUUUAAAUAUUAUAAAAUUUGGUUUCUAAAUAUUAAUAAUUGUGUCGAUCAAUUUCAACAGUGCCGAUUAUCAAUUUGAAGUUCCGAUCAUUCAAAACGACUUGAUAGAACAAGUGCUCCUAUUCUAUUAAUAGGAUAGUAGCCAGACUAGAGAAACUAGUGUUUGGACUUUUUUUUUUUUUUAAACCGUAAUACAUGUCGACGAGACAUAUUAAAAUUAGUAUUUUCAUAUUAGAUAACAAUUUCAAUCCUGACACAUAAAAAUGUAAAAAUUUUGUCCAUCUCUCCGCGUAAAUUUUUGGAUUGAGUCCAAACUUGUUAACAAAAUUAAUGACGUAAAAAAGAAUAUUCUAACAUACAUGAUCACACAAAUAAUGAUUUUAUUUUUUAUAUAUUUUAAUUUUUUGUGCCACUUAUUAGGGCUGGCAUUGACCAAGUCAGGUCAAAGAAUUUCUGGAAGACUUUUGAAUAUGCAAUCGUAGGUCAAAAUGCAUGAAGACCCCCUAAUUACAUACUAUUUGGAAGUAUACCCCUUACCUUUUUAAAAAAUUUGGACUAAUUGAAUUGAUGCUUUCGCCAAAAAUUUCGAACAAAGUAAACACUUUUGAUUGAUUCCAUGUGAAAUAAUCAAUUACUUUAAAGUUUAAAUUGAUAUAAAAAAAAAUGAUAUUAACAUAUCUAUACAAAUCUAUUAGUCCCCAAUGUUUUGUGAUGACGUGGCGCUCCCUCUUUAGUUUAGGAUUUUUUUAUUUUUUUUUUCCAUUGUUUUAUGAUGAUGUGGCUCCUUAGUUUAGGGUUUUUCUAUAUUUUUUUUUUCUCGUUUUUUAGUUAUAUAUUUUUCUUAACCGAACCAUGUUUGAAUCCGAAUUUUUCUUCUCUUCUUUCAAUUAUUCCUUUUUGAACCGAACCGAACUGGUGGUCUACAGGAUUCAUCUGAAUAUGGUUCAUCUUCAAUGUGAACCGAACCAAAAAAUUCUUUUUUAUUUGAAUUGAACCAACAAGUUAUUUUUUAUAUUUGAUAAUUAAUAUGCAAAAAUAACUAAUAGUCCAUGUGCUAUCUAAUUAUUGCAAUUGUUCUUGUACUUUCCAUGUGUAUUUUGGUUGGCUGCAAAUACGAAUAAAAGUCAUUUUUAAGCCCAUAUAUAUAUAUAUAUAGAGAGAGAGCUAGGCUGGUAUACUAUCGGUAGCACGGAGACCUCCGUGCUACCAAGUUAUUUUCAAUGAUACUAUUUUCAAAUCGACGAUCGGCUCCGUUAGACUUGAUCUACACUAUUGAAAGUAUUUAAAAACUAAAUUUUAUAAUUUUUCGACAUCACUUACCUAUCAAAUAAGUAGUCUAAAAAUGAACAGCUGAAAAAUUAUUUUUUCAAUUUGAAAAAUUAUUUUUUCCACCAAAUUCUUUUCCAAGGAAAAAUUAUUUUUCACUAUUUUAUGUACAAAUUUGCACGAUUUUACGUGCAACCAAACACUCCCUUAGGACCUGUUUGUUUCACCACAAUUGGACUUUGGGUUGAAAUGGGUUUUUGGGUUGAAGUGGAGUUCGGUGAAAAAUGCUUCUCCCAUGCUAUUUGUUCUUCAUCUCUCUUCGCCGUAAUUAAUUUUGACCCUGCUGUUUCGGAUAAUUCGAAUUUCAACCGUAUCUUUAUUACGGUGAAAUAAACAACGAAAAUGAUCGUUUAUGGCCGAAACGACUUCACUCCUCUCCACUUUCACCCAAACAAACAGGUGCCAAGCUGAAAAUAUGAAGUGAUUAUAUUUUGAAGUUUAAACUUUGGGUACCAACCAACCAGCUAUCGAAACCUUUUCCUACUUGCGUCCGGGACGGUCAGUCGAUCGAAAUUAAUUAAUUUAUAUUCAAAAUUACGCACCUGUAUGUCCGGCCGUCGGACGAGGUUUGCCAUGAUCCACUGCAACGCGGUUGCUGUCGUGUCGGUCCCGCCGCUCAGAAACUCCGAGCAUAGGCUGACGACCUCCCCAUCGGUGAGACUCCUGCCCUGCUCCUCCGGCAGACGGAGCUCGAGCAGGGAGUCGACAUACGCGACUGCUAUCCUGUCAGACUCCUGCUUCAGUUUCUGCUCCUGCCGGGCGCGGAUCAGCGCCCCGAAGAUCUCCUGCUGCUUCUGCUUCGUUGCGACGCACGCGUUCCACCUCUUGCGGAACAAGAGCUUGGUGACCGUCGGGAAGAAAGCGAAGACCGGGAAUGCGGUGAAGGCUGCCAGCAGGAACUGCUGCACGGCCUGGAUGUCUGCGAUCGCGGCGUCGUCGUCCAGCUUCACUCCGAAGCACAUGAACACCAGCAGGCAGAAGAUGGCGUGCUUGAAGCUCUCCAUCACCACUACGACGCCGUCAUCGUUGGCCGCGGCUUGCGCUUUCAGCUUCUCGAUGAGCACCGCGAGGGCCCACCUGACAAACAACCAUUAUAUCUGUAAAAUUAUUGUUUUGUCUCUUCAAAUAUAUUUUUUUACUACCUCAAACUUUUCUUAUUUGUCAAUAAGGAGCAAAAGAGUUAUUCUAACUUCUUUUUAACUCUCAUAGAAAUUUAACCCGAAUUUAAUCUUGGAUGACUUAACGGAUACUACCAGCGAGAUUAUUUUUGAAUAACGAAAAAAAUAUACGUGGGUAAAAUUUGAAAUAAAAAAUAUAUAUAUAAAAUAUUUUAGAAGUUCGGAGUCUUUAACUAUAUAUAAUUAUCCCAAAAUAUAUAUAUAUAUAUAUAUAUCAACACUAUUUUUCUAGCUAUUACAGGGAUAGAUACAAGUAUGGAGAUAAGAAAAAUAGUGUUUAGAUGAAAAUUAGGUUGUUUCCGGAGAUAAGAAAAAUAUUAGGUAGUUUUAUAUAGAAAAUGGAGGUGUUGGUAGGAAUAACUAAAAACUAUUCUUCUCGGAUAAAAAAUUAGCGUUUGGGUAUAAAGGGGUAUAAGGGCCAUUCUCGGAUAAAAAAUUAGCGUUUGGAUAUAAAGGGAGGAUAAGGGCCUAUCCCUAUCCCUAUCACCUAACGAAACGCUGUCCUAGGGAUUAAUGAGACCGUUGACUUCCAAUCUGCACCCUUAUUUUUCAAUUUAAUCCUUCUUUGGGAUUAAUGAUACAGUUGACUUCUAAUCUUUACCCUAUUUUUUGAUUUAAUUCUAAUUUUUCAAUUUUUUUUGCCAUUUAGAAAUAAAAAACAACUAAAUUUUGAAAUUAAAAAUUUGAAUAUCAUUUUUAACUAACUGCGCGCUAGAUGCGAUCAGUUAUCUCAUCUCAUUUAAGUUUUUAUCCUCAAAAUGUAUGAAAAAAGUAGACCGAAUUUGCCAUGUGGCAAAAUUUGGUACGAUCACGCCAGUUUUCGUUAUAAUUAACGGCACAAAUUUUUUUACUAAAAUAAAUUUUAGACACUCAACUACGAAUAUCAAAAAAGAUAAAAUAUUAAAACUUUUGCCAACUAUGGAACAUAUUGAUUUGGCUACCCUACAUUUUCAAAAUUUUUUUUUUUUUAUUUGAGUCCAACUUUACUUCAAAAUUUUAAUAAAUUAGUAUAUUUUAUACAAUUAUCGUAAUUAUAAAUUUUUAAAAAUAAUUAAUGAGUUUAAGCUUUAAAGUUGAAAUAUCAUUGACUGAUACAAAUCGAACAAAUUAAAAGAUUCGACAAUAGAAUUAAAAUUUUGAUAAUUUUAUACCUGAUUCAAAAUAUUUCUUAAUUUAUAUAAGUUUUCUAUAUUUUUUACCUAUUAAAACA
rnacentral:lncRNA from 1 species